rnacentral:rRNA from 1 species
CUCCUGUACCCAUCCCGAACACAGAAGAUAAGCCUGCCCGCGUUCCUUACUGUACUGAAGUGUGCGAGCCUUCGGGAACUCUGGAUCGCUGCCAAGC